rnacentral:rRNA from 1 species
UACCAGCUCUCCGAGUGGUGUGGAUGUUUAUUGGGCCUAAAGCAUCCGUAGCUGGCUGGGCAAGUCCCCUGUUAAAUCCACCGAUUCAAUCGUUGGAGUGCGGGGGAUACUGCUCAGCUAGGGGACGGGAGAGGCCGACGGUAUUUCCGGGGUAGGGGUGAAAUCCUAUAAUCCCGGGAAGACCACCAGUGGCGAAGGCUGUCGGCUAGAACGCGCCCGACGGUGAGGGAUGAAAGCUGGGGGAGCGAACCGGAUUAGAUACCCGGGUAGUCCCAGCUGUAAACGAUGCAGGCUAGGUGUUUGGGCGGCCACGUGCCGCUCUAGUGCCGCAAGGAAGCUGUUAAGCCUGCCGCCUGGGGAUACGAUCGCAAGAUUGAAACUUAAAGGAAUUGGCGGGGAGCACCUCAAGGGUGAAGCUUGCGGUUU